CGCGAACUCGCCCGCGUCGAAGGUGCGCAGCAGCCCCAGGGCCCAAGGGCUCUCGCUGUCGCCCUCCAUCGCUCGCCUCUCGCCUCCAAGCUGAGCCGCCCCAGCCGCGGCCGCUGCCCAGGUGCUCAGGCUCAGCAAUGGGCUCCGAGGCCAGGGAACCAGAUAUACAUCCGGAGGCCUCCAGAGCCAGCCCCCAGCUGCAAUCGGAGAGGGGCCAAAGGUCACCGGACAAAGAUCACGGUCAGGGCUGGGUGGACUGGCCAGGCCCCUCCCUCCUCCAGACUUGGCCAUGUUCCUCACCGGGACCACUCAGCCCACUGUGAAGGACAUCUGGGGAAGAUCUGACCACUUGAAGUGCCCACUGGGAACAGCUGGCUACCCUCCCUGGCCGGGAGGUGAGUGGUGGCGAUGGCAGAUCCCCAUCCCCGGGCUCCGGAGUGACGCAGCUACAAAACACAGAACGCCAGGACUGACAGCAGCGGCCAGAAGCCGGGAGAGGCAGGCAGGGCUCUCCCCUGGAGCCCCCAGAGGGAGCACGGCCCUGCCCACACCUGGAUCUCACACUUCCGGCCUCUAGAGUCGUGGGACAUUCCGCUCUUGUUGGUUUAAGCCACCCAGUUAGUGGCACUUGGCUGCGCAGCCCCGGGAAACUAGUAUACCCCCUGGACCAAUCACUGUCACGGUGGCGAGGACCCUUAUUUUAUCCAAAAGCAGGAGACCGGCUUUCUCCGUGUCCGCUCGGACCACGGGCCUGCUGCCUGCAGCUGACCCAUGCGCUCAUGUGGGGUCUGUGUUGGUUAACUUCACGUGUCACCGCCCGCCUGAUGGCCGUCCCACUGAAACGCUGGCCUCGAGGUCUCUGGUUUGACUUGUCAGCCUCCAAAACCACAUGAGUGAAUUCCUUACAAUAAACAAACAAAUAAGCACACGCACAUCCUAUCGGUUCCGUUUCUCUGGAGAGCCCUGUCUCAUUCAGGGCCUUAACAGCUCCCUGCUUCACCUUAACCCUGUUCUAAAGCAGCCAGUCGUUUUAUUGGCAAAGCUGGUAGACUUGCCUUUUUUGCAGGCUGUCCUGUAGUUUAUAUUACAUUUUGUUUUCUUUUUAAAAAGCCCUUUCGAAGCCACUACAAUGAAGGCUGAUGCUGCUAUUCAAGGCCAGUGAAUGCACAGUUAGGGCAGGAGCCUUGCCCUGUCUGGACAGGUCCUCUGACAACAGCAAGUAGAGAAAUGAGGUUUUCUCUCUCUGCAGCUGAACGGGCUGAAUUAAAAUGAUCUUAAAACAAGGCGUGUGAAGGUCGGUGGGGUGCGUGUGGCGGGCUCAGCUUUCACCGCUUCCUCUUCCCACCCCACCAGACAAGGCCGGCCCCCCUUCCUCCCCUCUCCGUCCCCCCACAGGGCCCCCACCCCCACUCAGGGCUGGGCAUCUUGCCUGCCUGUUGCUCUGCCAGCGGGGUCCUUCUUAUCACUGCUCCACAUCUCACAUCGCCAGCCAAGACUUUUCUUCCCAAGAUGUCUAUUUGGAAAGGAAUUCUCGUUGGGUACUUCUCACACACACCCUGGUGGCUUUGCCAGAUUCUCAAGGGAGCGGCCCCACGGGGUGGCCACCUGCCAUCUGUGGGCUGAGUGUGGAAACUGCAGCCGUGGCCACUGGGGAAUCAGGAUGGCCCGACAAGUGAGCCAGCCGAGCCCCCACCACGCGGUCACUUGAUAGAUAUUUGUGGCGCACCUGCUCUGUGCCAGGCACAGCCCUCGUCACCGAUGGCCCUGCCCUCCUGCGCCUCUCAGUCCAGGCCUCAGUGAAAGCCCCGGGCCUCAGCCUGCUGGGAGCAGACAGCAGGGUGCAGCAGCCAGGGCUGCCCGGGGCAUCCCUGGGCUCUCUUGCCUCAGUUUCUCCUCCGUUCUGCUUCACAGAGCUGUGGGGAUAAGGUCCUGUGUCCUCUGAGCAGUGCCUGCAUGUGUCCUCCGUGCGUGUCCGCUCUGUCUUCUUCCUUCAGUCCGGGCUACUUUCUGGGGCUCUCAGUGAGGCACUGAAAACAUCUAAUCUGCCAGUAAUCCCAUCUGCUGUAUUUUCCUACCAAAGUGGACAAAUAUAAUAACAUCAAAUUAUAUUCACAAAAGAGCAAGUUAUAGGCAAGUACAUAAAGGAGCUCCAUUUCUGUUAAAAUGUUAUACAAACUUGUAAAAGCAGAAGAUUGGAAGCAACCCAAAUCCCCAUUGAUGGGGCACUGAGUGAGUUACCACCAUUCACCAUCAUGAAGGAAUACUAUGCAGCCAUGAACAAGAGCACAAUCUCUGCAGCGAUCACAGAGGCCCCUGUGAGCAGAGUAAGGUGGAGGAGAGCUCACGUGCACAUUAUUGUUUAUCCAAGA